rnacentral:rRNA from 1 species
GAUGAACGCUAGCGGCAGGCCUAAUACAUGCAAGUCGAACGAGAGAAGGGAGCUUGCUCCCGGAUCUAGUGGCGCACGGGUGCGUAACGCGUAUGCAACCUACCUUAAUCAGUGGGAUAGCCUCUCGAAAGAGAGAUUAACACCGCAUAAAAUCACAGUCCGGCAUCGGACAAUGAUCAAAUAUUUAUAGGAUUAAGAUGGGCAUGCGUGACAUUAGCUAGUUGGUGAGGUAACGGCUCACCAAGGCAACGAUGUCUAGGGGAUCUGAGAGGAUGUCCCCCCACACUGGUACUGAGACACGGACCAGACUCCUACGGGAGGCAGCAGUAAGGAAUAUUGGUCAAUGGAGGCAACUCUGAACCAGCCAUGCCGCGUGCAGGAAGACGGCCCUAUGGGUUNUAAACUGCUUUUAUUGGGGAAUAACCUCCUGUAUGAAUACAGGACUGAAUGUACCCAAGGAAUAAGGAUCGGCUAACUCCGU